rnacentral:rRNA from 1 species
GACGAACGCUGGCGGCGUGCUUAACACAUGCAAGUCGAACGAAGAGCGAUGGAAGCUUGCUUCUAUCAAUCUUAGUGGCGAACGGGUGAGUAACGCGUAAUCAACCUGCCCUUCAGAGGGGGACAACAGUUGGAAACGACUGCUAAUACCGCAUACGAUCUAAACUCGGCAUCGAGGAUAGAUGAAAGGUGGCCUCUACAUGUAAGCUAUCACUGAAGGAGGGGAUUGCGUCUGAUUAGCUAGUUGGAGGGGUAACGGCCCACCGAGGCGAUGAUCAGUAGCCGGUCUGAGAGGAUGAACGGCCACAUUGGGACUGAGACACGGCCCAGACUCCUACGGGAGGCAGCAGUGGGGAAUCUUCCGCAAUGGACGAAAGUCUGACGGAGCAACGCCGCGUGAGUGAUGACGGCCUUCGGGUUGUAAAGCUCUGUUAAUCGGGACGAAAGGCCUUCUUGCGAAUAGUGAGAAGGAUUGACGGUACCGGAAUAGAAAGCCACGGCUAACUACGUG